rnacentral:lncRNA from 1 species
CUCAGCCUCCCAAAGUGCUGGGAUUACAGGCGUGAGCCACUGCGCCUGGCCAGUAGUUUAGUUCUAUACUUGAAUUGAUGGAUUGCAUUCUAUCUUGUAAAAUUUGAAUAAAAAGUAAAUACAGUGUUUACCAGUGAAGUUAUUUACUCAUUACAUAUUGAUAUAAUUGAUAAUCACUACAUAUUUUAUCAUAUUGAAUUCAAGACACUGUGAUAACAGAUUUUUUUGAAGCAAAAUCCUGUUUUAAGUCUUUGGAUAUAGUACUUUUGCUGACCACUCUUGCAUUUGUCUCUCCAACAUUAUUCCCCACCUCAUUCCCAUUAUGAAACAGUUCACUGUUUGGAGAGCUGGGCCCCACCUCCGGCUCCGAGAUCAAUCCUGAUUGGGUGAAACUAAUCUGAGUAACCCCUCCUUCACAGGGGUUUGUCAGAUAACCCAGGCUUGAGCCAAUCACCGUUCUCUGGGACACAGAUUGGACUGAGUUAUCUUGUAACUGUCAUACUCCAGAUUUAUGUGGGAGCAGGAACUCCUUUGGACCUUAAGGAGGAAGCACGUGGCUGCUUUUACCUGCUGGCAGUUAUCUUGUGUUCUUGAAGGAAGCAGGCCUGAGGAGGACUCCUCAUACAGAGAGAAACACCGAGAGAUUCACUGAAAAACUGACAUGGGAUCCUGAGGGGCCACUCUUGAAGACUUAUCUCUGCACCUUUCUGGGCACUGUGCAUACAGCAAUGAUCAGCAUGAUUCCAGUGCUCAGAGAGCUCCAAGGAUUAGUUGAGACCAGACAAGAAUAUCAAGGAGGCAUGCAGAAGUUACAAUGGGAAAUCAAAAAGAAGACAAAGGAGGGACACCUAAUUCAGAACGAUGGGUUUGUUGGAUAGGAGAGAAAAGGAGACGAAUGGGCAGGUAUCAUCAAAGAUUCCUAAGAAGAAGUUCCUAACUUCUGUUUUUGUGCCAUUGACUCUUUGGCAGUGUGGAGAAACCCAGGGACCCAUUUUCAGAACAGUGUUUUUAAAUGCAUAAAAUAUUUUGGAUUAAAAGGAAACUCUGAGUAUUGAAAUACCUAACAAAAUAUUUUAAAAGCAAAUUUGUAAUACAGUAAUGUAUAUGCUUCUUUAUUAACUAAUUAAAGAACAAGAUAUAGCAA